AUGAUCGACACGCUAUCUCAUGCAGCGUUUGUUCGUCUAGCAGUCACCUUAUGGGCUACUUGGUGGGUUCGUCGCAAGGCAAUCCAUGAGGAAACUUACCAGAGUCCCGCUUCGACACAUCAGUUUAUUGCCAGGUAUUUGGAUGAUCUGGAGCUCCUGCCGAAGAAGGUGGAGAGCUUUACCCGCCAGCCCAGGGGAAGAAUUCUCCGUCCCAAGGCACCACCAGCGGGUUUCUCAAAGAUUCAUGUCGAUGCGGCAGUCUCGAAAAUUCACAACCGGGGAGCAGCAGCUGCUGUCUGUAGGGACAGUUCAGGGAAUUAUGUUGGAAGCUCGGCGUUAGUUAUACAUGGUAUAACAGAUCCGUCAGUGUUGGAAACAAUUGCAUGCCGAGAAGGUUUGGCGUUGGCACAAGAUCUUAUGCUACAAAAUCUUGUGCUAGCUUCGGAUUCCAGCCAGGUCGUUGAAGACAUCAAGAAGUCAAGCCAAGGGGCUCAGGGGGCUAUAAUUACUGAGAUUAGACAACGUUUAUUACUUUUUAAUUGUAAUAUAACUUUUGAAGGUAGAACCGCAAAUAAGGAUGCCGAUAGGUUAGCCAAGUUUGCUCAUUCCUUAGAUCAGGGGCGUCACGUCUGGUUUGGCGCACCCCAUGAUCCGUUUUGUAUCCCACACCAUGUGGAUUUUGAAUAA
rnacentral:rRNA from 1 species